CGCCUUCAGAUUCAAUAUUGGAGGUCUGGUCUGCCCAGUGUAAUUAAUUAACGGCCGCGGUAUUCUGACUGUGCAAAGGUAGCAUAAUCACUUGCCCUUUAAAUGGGGGAAUGUAUGAAUGAUUAGACGAGGUUUUUACUGUCUCUUCCUUAUAAAUUGAGAUUACAAUACUUGUGAAAAUGCGGGUAAGGUAAUAAAGGACGAGAAGACCCUGUUGAGCUUUUAAGCUAAACUAUAGUACAGGUUAAGUUAAGUAAUAAUUUACAAUUAAAACGAGUAAUUUUUUGUAGGCUUUUUGGCUGGGGUGGCAAGCAAAGAUAUUAAGCUUUGUUGUAGUAUACAUUUUGUAUUUCUAGAUAAUAUGUAUCUAUAAAUAAUUAAAUUGAUCCGUUAUAAUAGAACGAUUAAAAGAAUAAGUUACCACAGGGAUAACAGCGUAAUUCUUUUUGAGAGCUCGAAUUGACAAAGGAGUUUGCGACCUCGAUGUUGGAUCAAGAUUCCUAGCGGUGUAGCAGCUGUUACGGGUUUGCCUGUUCGGCGAUUAAUAUCU
rnacentral:rRNA from 1 species